rnacentral:lncRNA from 1 species
CCAUCUUAAUCUUAUUAUGCAAAUGAACUCGCCCGUUGACUGGCGCCAUCUUGUCUGCUCCUGACUACACGCAGCUGAUAAAGAGAAGGGAAGAUGGGGCUCCCAUUUUGAGCAUGAUUGGCACAAAUGCCAGCAUAUAUGUCUGCAGCUCGAUUUUAUAUGCUGCUCAUUGUUAGAAAGGAAAAUGGUUCGGGGCUGCUUUUCAUUAAAAGGAAAACUUGACUGAGGACUUCUGUACCCUCACUAUCUGCCUAAGUAAUUUCUUUUUUUUUUUUCUUUCUUUCUUUUUUUUUUUGAGAGGGAGUCUUCUCUGUCUCCAGGUUGGAGUGCAGUAGCACUCACUGCAACCUCUGCCUCCCAGAUUCAAGCGAUUCUCCUGCCUCAGCCUCCCGAGUAGCUGGCACUAGAGAUGGGGUUUCACCAUGCUGGCCAGGAUGGUUUUGAUCUCUUGACCUCGUGAUCUGCCUGCCUCCGCCUCUCAAAGUGCUGGGAUUACAGGCGUGAUCCACUGUGCCGGGCCAGUAAUUUCUUCUUAAAUCCUGUAUCAACAUAUGAUAAAAUACAGCAUUUUAAAACAAGUUUUGAAAAGAUUAAGAAUUUAUAAAAGCUCUAAGAAGGAAACUUCAAAUAUGGAUCUCAAUCACGAGCAAGGUAAUGAGGACCCAGUGACCAUGAAGAGGCUCCAGAAGUCCAUGACCUUCUGUUAUGAAAAGUUAUAGUACGAUCUGUGCUCAACAGAAAAGUGCCUACUGAAGACAUGAUGAUGAUAAUAGUGACAGCUAACAUUACUGAACCAGGCACUGUUCAGAGCACACAACAAUGAACUCAGUAUAUGUGCCAAGAACUAUAUUGAGUAUGCAACAUGGAUAAAAUAAUCCAAACCUCAAAAUAAACCUAUGAGGUAAAUACUAUUAUUAUCUUGAUUUUAUUGAUAAAGUGAGGAACAGAAAGGUUUAGUAAAUUGCUCAAGA